rnacentral:rRNA from 1 species
UAACGCAUUAGUGCCCCGCUGGGGAGUACGANGCAGAUUAAACUCAAAGGAAUGACGGGGCCCCGCACAAGCAGCGGAGCAUGCGGUUAAUUCGACGCAACGCGAAGAACCUUACCAAGGCUUGACAUAUAGGGAAAAGUGGCAGAGAUGUCAUGUCCGCAAGGGCUCUAUACAGGUGGUGCAUGGUUGUCGUCAGCUCGUGUCGUGAGAUGUUGGGUUAAGUCCCGCAACGAGCGCAACCCUCGUUCUGUGUUGCCAGCAUUUAGUUGGGGACUCACAGGAGACUGCCGGGGUUAACUCGGAGGAAGGUGGGGAUGACGUCAAAUCAUCAUGCCCCUUAUGUCUUGGGCUGCACGCAUGCUACAAUGGCCGGUACAGAGGGCUGCAAUACCGUAAGGUGGAGCGAAUCCCAAAAAGCCGGUCUCAGUUCGGAUUGAGGUCUGCAACUCGACCUCAUGAAGUUGGAGUUGCUAGUAAUCGUAGAUCAGCAACGCUACGGUGAAUACGUUCCCGGGGCUUGUACACACCGCCCGUCACGUCACGAAAGUCGGUAACACCCAAAGUCAGUGGCCCAACCGCAAGGGGGGAGCUGCCUAAGGUGGGAUCGGUGAUUGGGACGAAGUCGUAACAAGGU